rnacentral:rRNA from 1 species
CUACGGGAGGCAGCAGUAGGGAAUAUUGGUCAAUGGACGAAAGUCUGAACCAGCCAUGCCGCGUGCAGGAAGACAGCCUUAUGGGUCGUAAACUGCUUUUAUACGGGAAAAAACCCCUGAACGUGUUCGGGGCUGAUGGUACCGUAAGAAUAAGGAUCGGCUAACUCCGUGCCAGCAGCCGCGGUAAUACGGAGGAUCCAAGCGUUAUCCGGAUUUAUUGGGUUUAAAGGGUGCGUAGGCGGAAUAAUAAGUUAGUGGUGAAAUCCUACAGCUUAACUGUAGAACUGCCAUUAAUACUGUUAUUCUUGAGUACAUUUGAAGUGGGUGGAAUGUGUUAUGUAGCGGUGAAAUGCUUAGAUAUAACACAGAACUCCAAUAGCGAAGGCAGCUCACUAAACUGUAACUGACGCUGAGGCACGAAAGCGUGGGGAGCGAACAGGAUUAGAUACCCCGGUAGUC